rnacentral:rRNA from 1 species
AUUGAACGCUGGCGGCAGGCCUAACACAUGCAAGUCGAACGAGUGGCGGACGGGUGAGUAAUGUCUGGGAACCUGCCUGAUGGCGGGGGAUAACUACUGGAAACGGUAGCUCAUACCGCAUACCAUCGGAUGUGCCCAGAUGGGAUUAGCUAGUAGGUGGGGUAAAGGCUCACCUAGGCGACGAUCCCUAGCGGGUCUGAGAGGAUGACCAGCCACACUGGAACGGAGACACGGUCCAGACUCCGACGGGAGGCAGCAGUGGGGAAUAUUGCACAAGGGGCGCAAGCCUGAUGAAGCCAUGCCGCGUGUAGGAAGAAGGCCUGCGGGUUGUAAAGUACUGUCAGCGGGGAGGCGUUACCCGCAGAAGAAGCACCGGCUAACUCCGUGCCAGCAGCCGCGGUAAUAC